rnacentral:rRNA from 1 species
GAUUCUGCCAGUAAAAUAUGCUUGUCUCAAAGAUUAAGCCAUGCAAGUCUAAGUAUAAGUAUAUUUACAACGAGACUGCGAACGGCUCAUUAAAACAGUUAUGGUUUAUUUGAUGUCCACGUUCUACAUGGAUAACUGUGGUAAUUCUAGAGCUAAUACAUGCUUCAAUGGGCGACUCACGAAGCCCUGUGUUUAUUAGAUCGCAACCAUCUGACUUCGGUCAUACCUGGUGAAUCACAAUAACAAUCAGAUCGCAUGGUCUUGUACCGGCGACAGUUCAUUCAAGUUUCUGCUCUAUCAGUUUUCGACUGUAAUAUAUAGGAUUACAGUGACGGUAACGGAUAACGGAGUAUUAGGGUACGAUUCCGGAGAGCGAGCCUGAGAGACGGCUCGCACUUCCAAGGAAGGCAGCAGGCGCGUAAAUUAUCCUAAUCCAAAUAUUGGGAGAUAGUGACAAGAUAUAACAAUAGGCGAUUGUCAACAAUUGUCUAAUUGGAAUGAGUACAAUUUAAAACACUUAACAAGGAACAACUGGAGGGCAAGUCUGGUGCCAGCAGCCGCGGUAAUUCCAGCUCCAGUAGCGUAUCUUAAAGUUGUUGCAGUUAAAAAGCUCGUAGUUGGACUUCUAGAGAUAAUGUGAGGCUCCAAGGACUUCGGUCUUAGGGUAGCUCUUACAAAUCUCUUUUUUGCCAGAAUUCUGUCUACCAUUAAUUUGGUUGGAUGGUUAUUUUCUGGCUCUUUUACUUUGAGAAAAAUAGCGUGCUCAAAGCAGGCGUUUUGCCUUGUAUAUGUUAGCAUGGGAUAAUAAUAAAGACUGCGUGUUUAUGUUGUUGGUUAUGAACAUGUGGUAAUGAUCGAUGGGAACGGCUUGGGGGUCUCGGUAUUCUGUAGGGAGAGGUGAAAUUCUUGGAUCUAUGGAAGACCACCUGCUGCGAAAGCGUUGACCAAAGACGUCUCCGUCAAUCAAGAACGAAAGUUGGGGGAUCGAAGACGAUCAGAUACCGUCGUAGUCCCAACCAUAAACUAUGCCAGCUGAGGAUUGGCGGACGUUUCUAUGACUCCGUCAGCACUCCGUGGGAAACCAAAGCAUUCGGGUUCCGGGGGGAGUAUGAUCGCAAGGUUGAAACUUAAAGAAAUUGACGGGAAUUCACCUCCAGGCGAGGAGCAUGUGGCUUAAUUUGACACAACACGGGGAAACUUAUCAGGUCCAGACACGCUUAGGAUUGACAGAUUGACAGCU